rnacentral:lncRNA from 1 species
GACUGUACCUAGGUGUUCUUUAAUGACAGUUCAAGGGGCCAAUUAAACAGCAAACAGCUUGGCAAGGCCCUGGGGUGUGGUGUGGGCACGAGUGCCUUGUGCCAGUCUGGCCCCAGCACAGCCCCUUUCUCCAGUGACUCCUGGUAUGGUCAACAGCUUCUGGCCCAGGCCUGGGCCCCGAGAAGGCUGGAGUCCUCUGCUGGGUGUACA